rnacentral:lncRNA from 10 species
CCGGGAGUUACACACCAACGAAUUUCUAAAGAAAGCCUAACAAAAAGGCAAAUAAAGCAAGAGGAUUCUCACAGACUCACUGCUGCAGGGCUUUAAAAUCUCAGCCUCAUCUAUUGAACACUAGCCCAGCUUCCCUCAACCCCUCAAAGCAGCAAGAUUUAUGCAAGCCUCCUGUGACAGCAGAGCUUCUGUCCCAUCAGUAGCCUUAUCAAAUCUGUCCUAUAGCCCCAUCAGACCUGAGCGAACACCUGCUUUCCAGGUGCAAGACCAUAGAGGCUGAGAAGGAAGAGAAGUCAGCAACAGAAAUAACCUCACUAACAGCAAGACCCCCAGAGAAGCUAAAAACAUUCCAGGCAGGGCUCACAACAGCUCUCAGAGCAGAAUUCCCAAGGCAUCACUUAUGGUUUCUACAAGAGCUUUUGCCUUGCUGUUCCUUCCCCUACAUGCGACCUUUCAGCCCCAGUGAGUCCAGAGGCUUUCUGCAGAGAGAACUGAGUCAGACUGUGAAGAAGAGGCUUUGGGCAGCUAAGAGGAAUGAUAUAUCCCAGAUCAAACUGCUUCUUAAGCUCGUGUUAUGGAAGAAAAAGACAUAUGCAACAUAAUGGCAGCUCACUGCAGCUGAAGUAAUAUAAGACCAAGCCAAAUCCUAAUUUCCAUGAAGACUGCCUCAAGAAGUGAAGGCUUUUUGUCCCUCCUCUGAAGAGCACACAAUGCACGCAUCUCUUCUGAGACUAAGACGCACCUACUUGGAAGAUUCUGACAUGCCUGUGUAGACAGACAGCUGGGUAGGUCUGUUUGCAUGAACUAAAAACAUGCUGCUUAAGAGAGCAGGACUGGAGUGCCCUGAAAAAGGUCAGAGUCGAGGCAGACAGACAAGGCUGGCUAAACCUUGGUUCCAGAGGGCAAAGGCGAAACUGGGAAUGGCAACGUGUCUGCAUUUGCAUUUUUAUUCUGGCUCAGCUCCACCCCCAGAACUCAGGGCUGAGUCUCAAAG